CCCCCAGGACACAGUGCUGGUCCAGUCAGCAAUAAGAGGACAUCUCCUCAGACAGAGCCAGAUAGCUCACCUCCGAGACACACACACCAGCACUCUCAGCAAGAAUGGCCAAUCACAGCGGCACUGAUGUUACCUCCCUGUGGAGGAUGGGGAGCUGGUUGCCGUGACGCUGAUCCAGUCUGUGUUCCGAGGUCACCUGACACGCAGCGCACUAAUGACGGAGAGCUCUGAGUCUCCAGCCUCUCCUCCCUGUGGACCCACACCAGCUCCUAGAAGAGUCCC